UACGAAGGGGGCUAGCGUUGCUCGGAAUUACUGGGCGUAAAGCGCGCGUAGGCGGCUUGUCAAGUCAGGGGUGAAAUCCUGGAGCUUAACCCCAGAAUUGCCUUUGAAACUGUCAAGCUGGAGUGUCGGAGGGAUAGCGGAAUUGCUAAUGUAGAGGUGAAAUUCGUAGAUAUUAGCAGGAACACCGGUGGCGAAGGCGGCUAUCUGGACGACAACUGACGCUGAGGCGCGAAAGCGUGGGGAUCAAACAGGG
rnacentral:rRNA from 1 species